rnacentral:lncRNA from 1 species
CUUCCUGAUAAAGAGGACUUGACUCUAAACCUAGAAAUGCAUAUAUGGUUCAGUACUGACUGUGUGCAAUGCAUGUGAAGCACCUGCACCAAGUCAUGGAGCCGAUUACAAAUGUGCUGACUUCAGAGGCUUUGGGACAGUUUCAGAGAGUUGAAGUCAUUCCUUUAUGUUUCUGCAACGUUCAGAAGAGCAAGGAGGGAGCUGUGAGUCAUGCAUAAUGAAUUCCUGGUACAGAGCAGGACUCCAAGGUGGAAUGCUCUCAAAGGCCCUUCUAAGGAUCAUUACUGCUGCACAUUUUACUGAAGUCCAAAAGGAAGGAGUGGAAGUCAGAAGCCAAAGUGAUUCUGCUAGUGUCUGCAGAUGUUUCUACAAGAAUAAGAGAAAGUGCCAGAGAGGCAGCGGUGGAAACAAGGAAGAGUACGUCUGGCUUUCUGAAGGGAAUCUUUGUUUUUUCUUCAAUAAUUAUUUGCAUAAGUGCCGGCCUCAGAGUGGGUUUAAUGCCUUAAAACAGAAUUUCAGGUGA